GACGAACGCUGGCGGCGUGCUUAACACAUGCAAGUCGAGCGGUAAGGCUCCUUCGGGAGUACACGAGCGGCGAACGGGUGAGUAACACGUGAGCAAUCUGCCCUUCUCAUCGGAAUAACCAUUGGAAACGAUGGCUAAUGCCGAAUAUGACCUCGGAUCACAUGUUCUGAGGUGGAAAGCUCCGGCGGAGAAGGAUGAGCUCGCGGCCUAUCAGCNGUUGGUGAGGUAAUAGCUCACCAAGGCGAUGACGGGUAGCCGGCCUGAGAGGGUGACCGGCCACACUGGGACUGAGACACGGCCCAGACUCCUACGGGAGGCAGCAGUGGGGAAUAUUGGACAAUGGGCGAAAGCCUGAUCCAGC
rnacentral:rRNA from 1 species